UCUUUUUUUUUUUUUAUGAAUUGAGUCUGUUUUUUAUGUUAUUUUGUACUGUACAACUACUUUUUGUGGGAUCGUUUUCUCAUGAGAGGUAAUUAAAAGAAAUUAUAAAAUGGAUUGCUACCUAUGCCUAGAUCUCGGAUAACUGGAAAUUUUAUUGAUAAGACUUUUUCAGUUGUAGCCAAUAUCUUAUUACGAAUAAUUCCGACAACUUCGGGAGAAAAAGAGGCAUUUACUUAUUACAGAGAUGG
rnacentral:misc_RNA from 1 species